AUGGCCAGUCAUGUGCCAAUGCAGCCCCGACUCCACCUCCUCGGCCCCCACCUAGGUCGUCCAAGAAAUGUCCCUGGUUCACCACCCCCACCUCGUGGCAGACCACGACCACCUAUGGUGAGACCAGAUGCAUGGAGAAAUCCGCCUGGUAACCAUCAGGGUGGCAGAAAUCAUGGCUGAAAGGCCCCGCUGUGCCGCAAAACUAUCUCUUCACGACGAGUGCAUGAGUGAUUGCACCAAAAGCGUAAUAAAGUGUCCUGAAAUCUGAUGUGGAA